rnacentral:tRNA from 1 species
GCCUGGGUGGCUAAGUCGUUUAAGCGUCUGACUUUGGCUCAGGUCAUGAUCUCACGGUUUGUGGGUUCAAGCCCCACAUCAGGCU